GCGCCCGUAGCUCAGCCGGAUAGAGCGACGGAUUUCUAAUCCGUGGGUCGGUUGUUCGAGUCACCCCGGGCGCG
rnacentral:tRNA from 1 species